UACAGAGGGUGCGAGCGUUAAUCGGAAUUACUGGGCGUAAAGCGCACGUAGUCGGCUUUGCAAGUCGGGUGUGAAAUCCCCGGGCUCAACCUGGGAACUGCAUCCGAGACUGCAUUGCUAGAGUAUGGGAGAGGGAAGCGGAAUUCCAGGUGUAGCGGUGAAAUGCGUAGAUAUCUGGAGGAACACCGGUGGCGAAGGCGGCAUCCUGGACCAACACUGACGCUGAGUGAGCGAAAGCCAGGGGAGCAAACGGG
rnacentral:rRNA from 1 species